rnacentral:rRNA from 1 species
GAGUUUGAUCCUGGCUCAGGACGAACGCUGGCGGCGUGCUUAACACAUGCAAGUCGAACGGAAAGGCCCUUCGGGGUACUCGAGUGGCGAACGGGUGAGUAACACGUGGGUGAUCUGCCCUGCACUUCGGGAUAAGCCUGGGAAACUGGGUCUAAUACCGGAUAUGACCUUGGGAUGCAUGUCCUUUGGUGGAAAGCUUUUGCGGUGUGGGAUGGGCCCGCGGCCUAUCAGCUUGUUGGUGGGGUUAAGGCCUACCAAGGCGACGACGGGUAGCCGGCCUGAGAGGGUGACCGGCCACACUGGGACUGAGAUACGGCCCAGACUCCUACGGGAGGCAGCAGUGGGGAAUAUUGCACAAUGGGCGCAAGCCUGAUGCAGCGACGCCGCGUGAGGGACGACGGCCUUCGGGUUGUAAACCUCUUUCAGCACAGACGAAGCGCGAGUGACGGUAUGUGCAGAAGAAGGACCGGCCAACUACGUGCCAGCAGCCGCGGUAAUACGUAGGGUCCGAGCGUUGUCCGGAAUUACUGGGCGUAAAGAGCUCGUAGGUGGUUUGUCGCGUUGUUCGUGAAAACUCACAGCUCAACUGUGGGCGUGCGGGCGAUACGGGCAGACUAGAGUACUGCAGGGGAGACUGGAAUUCCUGGUGUAGCGGUGGAAUGCGCAGAUAUCAGGAGGAACACCGGUGGCGAAGGCGGGUCUCUGGGCAGUAACUGACGCUGAGGAGCGAAAGCGUGGGGAGCGAACAGGAUUAGAUACCCUGGUAGUCCACGCCGUAAACGGUGGGUACUAGGUGUUGGAGGCAUUGACCCCUCCAGUGCCGCAGCUAACGCAUUAAGUGCCCCGCCUGGGGAGUACGACCGCAAGGUUGAAACUCAAAGGAAUUGACGGGGGCCCGCACAAGCGGUGGAGCAUGUGGUUCAAUUCGAUGCAACGCGAAGAACCUUACCUGGCCUUGACAUCUGUCGAAUCCUGCAGAGAUGUGGGAGUGCCUUCGGGAACGACAAGACAGGUGCUGCAUGGCUGUCGUCAGCUCGUGUCGUGAGAUGUUGGGUUAAGUCCCGCAACGAGCGCAACCCUUGUCCUUAGUUGCCAUCAUUAAGUUGGGAACUCUAAGGAGACCGCCGGUGACAAACCGGAGGAAGGUGGGGAUGACGUCAAGUCAUCAUGCCCCUUAUGUCCAGGGCUGCACGCAUGCUACAAUGCGCGGUACAGAGGGCUGCGAUCCCGUAAGGGGGAGCGAAUCCCAGAAAGCCGUGCUCAGUUCGGAUCGAGGUCUGCAACCCGACCUCGUGAAGUCGGAGUCGCUAGUAAUCGCAGAUCAGCAAUGCUGCGGUGAUACGUUCCCGGGCCUUGCACACAC